CGGCGAGUGGCGAACGGGUGAGUAAUAUAUCGGAACGUACCUUCAGUGGGGAUAACGUAGCGAAAGUUACGCUAAUACCGCAUAUUCUGUGAGCAGGAAAGCAGGGGAUCGCAAGACCUUGCGCUGAUUGAGCGGCCGAUAUCAGAUUAGCUAGUUGGUGAGGUAAAGGCUCACCAAGGCGACGAUCUGUAGCGGGUCUGAGAGGAUGAUCCGCCACACUGGAACUGAGACACGGUCCAGACUCCUACGGGAGGCAGCAGUGGGGAAUUUUGGACAAUGGGCGCAAGCCUGAUCCAGCCAUGCCGCGUGAGUGAAGAAGGCCUUCGGGUUGUAAAGCUCUUUCGGCCGGGAAGAAAUCGCACAGGUUAAUACCCUGUGUGGAUGACGGUACCGGAAUAAGAAGCACCGGCUAACUACGUG
rnacentral:rRNA from 1 species